rnacentral:rRNA from 1 species
UACGUAGGGGCAAGCGUUAUCCGGAAUUACUGGGCGUAAAGCGCACGCAGGCGGUUCGCCAAGUUUGGAGUGACAGUUGUCGGCUCAACCGACAAAGGACUUCAAAAACUGGUGAACUUGAGGACGAGAGAGGAACAUGGAACUCCAGGUGUAGUAGUGAAAUGCGUAGAUAUCUGGAAGAACACCAAUGGCGAAGGCAAUGUUCUGGCUCGUUUCUGACGCUCAGGUGCGAAAGCCAGGGGAGCGAACGGG